CUGCUCACUUCGGCAGCACAUCUCCUAAAACUGGAAUGGCAACAGAGAUUAGCAUGACCCCCGUAUGAAGAUGGCACACAAAUCUGUGAAGUGUUCUGUAUUUUU
rfam:TPA: Bos taurus chromosome 3, whole genome shotgun sequence.